GACAGAGGGUGCAAACGUUGCUCGGAAUCAUUGGGCGUAAAGGGCGUGUAGGCGGAUAGAUAAGUCGGGCGUGAAAUCCCCAGGCUCAACCUGGGAACUGCACUCGAAACUGUUUAUCUUGAGUGCCGGAGAGGAAAGCGGAAUUCCUGGUGUAGAGGUGAAAUUCGUAGAUAUCAGGAGGAACACCAGUGGCGAAGGCGGCUUUCUGGACGGUAACUGACGCUGAGACGCGAAAGCGUGGGGAGCAAACAGG
rnacentral:rRNA from 1 species